AUCUACGGCCACACCUAGGCGAAAACACCAGUUCCCGUCCGAUCACUGCAGUUAAGCGUCUGAGGGCCUCGUUAGUACUAUGGUUGGAGACAACAUGGGAAUCCGGGGUGCUGUAGGUU
rfam:Schizosaccharomyces cryophilus OY26 unplaced genomic scaffold supercont4.8, whole genome shotgun sequence.